rnacentral:rRNA from 1 species
UACGUAGGGUGCGAGCGUUGUCCGGAAUUAUUGGGCGUAAAGAGCUUGUAGGCGGUUUGUCGCGUCUGCUGUGAAAAUCCGGGGCUCAACCCCGGACUUGCAGUGGGUACGGGCAGACUAGAGUGUGGUAGGGGAGACUGGAAUUCCUGGUGUAGCGGUGAAAUGCGCAGAUAUCAGGAGGAACACCGGCGGCGAAGGCGGGUCUCUGGGCCGAUACUGACGCUGAGGAGCGAAAGCGUGGGGAGCGAACAGG